CACAUCUCAGCACGGGCAUAUAAUUUGUGUGGCCCUGUGCUAGGAACCUGGAGUAGAGCGUGUGCUCCGAGAUCUUCGCAUCUUCCGGAUCUUUGAGGGGACAAAUGACAUUCUUCGGCUGUUUGUGGCUCUGCAGGGCUGUAUGGUAAGACAGAGAAUUGGGUGGGGGUAGAGGUGGGGAGGACAGUGAGUCCUGACUGCUGGACCCUCUUCCCCCAUAGGACAAAGGAAAGGAGCUCUCUGGGCUUGGCAGUGCUCUAAAGAAUCCCUUUGGGAAUGCUGGCCUCCUGCUAGGAGAGGCAGGCAAACAGCUGAGGCGGCGGGCAGGGCUGGGCAGCGGCCUGAGUCUCAGCGGACUUGUCCACCCGGAGUUGAGUCGGAGUGGCGAGCUGGCAGUACGGGCUCUGGAGCAGUUUGCCACUGUGGUGG
rnacentral:lncRNA from 1 species